UAAUAGAGGGAGAUGGUUAGGAAACCCGGCGAACUUCAAAGGGCCGGCCUAUUGUUUCGGAUUUGAUGUUGAACGUACCAGUCACGUGACUCUGACCGUGCACAAACACAACAGAGUUUCCAAGAUGGCGAACAGAACUAGCGAUCAAUUUGAGUUUGCCGACGAUUUUUACGCGACUUUUAGAUAUACUGAAGACAGUGAAGACUUGGAAGAGGACAUUAUAUCUAGAACUAGUGAUGGUUUCCUGAAAGAGUACACACUGCCAGCGAACCACUGACUGGAGAAAGAUAGGAAAGAAACACUCAAAUGUGAUAUUCGAAAAGAAUUCAUUCAUUUUAACACGGCCCAUUCUUACUAACAUAUUGCUUCUCUUUAUAUACAACAUUUAUAUAUAAUGUAUUUUAUUUGCAUACCACCAGGCAGUGAUAAUGAUAUAAAUUCAACAUUCAAUUUAGCUUGCUAGCACAACAACACACAGAGUACUGUAAAUUCAUUACAUGUAAAAAGCUGGUAAUUCAUAUAAACAUGAUCAAGUUCUGUUAAAACAGAUAGGAUGACUAUGGAUCAUUUAUAUUAUAAGCACAUGUGAAAAUUGAAUGUUUUCCUCAUCUGAUACAUUAAAAUUUCAUUUAAAUAUCA